CACAUGCAGUCGAACGGUGAAACGGAGCUUGCUCUGUGGGAUCAGUGGCGAACGGGUGAGUAACACGUGAGCAACCUGCCCCUGACUCUGGGAUAAGCGCUGGAAACGGCGUCUAAUACUGGAUAUGUGACGUGACCGCAUGGUCUGCGUCUGGAAAGAAUUUCGGUUGGGGAUGGGCUCGCGGCCUAUCAGCUUGUUGGUGAGGUAAUGGCUCACCAAGGCGUCGACGGGUAGCCGGCCUGAGAGGGUGACCGGCCACACUGGGACUGAGACACGGCCCAGACUCCUACGGGAGGCAGCAGUGGGGAAUAUUGCACAAUGGGCGCAAGCCUGAUGCAGCAACGCCGCGUGAGGGACGACGGCCUUCGGGUUGUAAACCUCUUUUAGCAGGGAAGAAGCGAAAGUGACGGUACCUGCAGAAAAAGCGCCGGCUAACUACGUGCCAGCAGCCGCGGUAAUACGUAGGGCGCAAGCGUUAUCCGGAAUUAUUGGGCGUAAAGAGCUCGUAGGCGGUUUGUCGCGUCUGCUGUGAAAUCCGGAGGCUCAACCUCCGGCCUGCAGUGGGUACGGGCAGACUAGAGUGCGGUAGGGGAGAUUGGAAUUCCUGGUGUAGCGGUGGAAUGCGCAGAUAUCAGGAGGAACACCGAUGGCGAAGGCAGAUCUCUGGGCCGUAACUGACGCUGAGGAGCGAAAGGGUGGGGAGCAAACAGGCUUAGAUACCCUGGUAGUCCACCCCGUAAACGUUGGGAACUAGUUGUGGGGUCCAUUCCACGGAUUCCGUGACGCAGCUAACGCAUUAAGUUCCCCGCCUGGGGAGUACGGCCGCAAGGCUAAAACUCAAAGGAAUUGACGGGGACCCGCACAAGCGGCGGAGCAUGCGGAUUAAUUCGAUGCAACGCGAAGAACCUUACCAAGGCUUGACAUAUACGAGAACGGGCCAGAAAUGGUCAACUCUUUGGACACUCGUAAACAGGUGGUGCAUGGUUGUCGUCAGCUCGUGUCGUGAGAUGUUGGGUUAAGUCCCGCAACGAGCGCAACCCUCGUUCUAUGUUGCCAGCACGUAAUGGUGGGAACUCAUGGGAUACUGCCGGGGUCAACUCGGAGGAAGGUGGGGAUGACGUCAAAUCAUCAUGCCCCUUAUGUCUUGGGCUUCACGCAUGCUACAAUGGCCGGUACAAAGGGCUGCAAUACCGCGAGGUGGAGCGAAUCCCAAAAAGCCGGUCCCAGUUCGGAUUGAGGUCUGCAACUCGACCUCAUGAAGUCGGAGUCGCUAGUAAU
rnacentral:rRNA from 1 species